rnacentral:rRNA from 1 species
GUAGGUGGCAAGCGUUGUCCGGAAUUAUUGAGCGUAAAGCGCGCGCAGGCGGUCCUUUAAGUCUGAUGUGAAAGCCCACGGCUCAACCGUGGAGGGUCAUUGGAAACUGGGGGACUUGAGUACAGAAGAGGAAAGCGGAAUUCCAAGUGUAGCGGUGAAAUGCGUAGAGAUUUGGAGGAACACCAGUGGCGAAGGCGGCUUUUCUGGUCUGUAACUGACGCUGAGGCGCGAAAGCGUGGGGAGCAAACAGGGAUUAGAUACCCUGGUAGUCCACGCCGUAAACGAUGAGUGCUAAGUGUUAGGGGGUUUCCGCCCCCUUAGUGCUGCAGCUAACGCAUUAAGCACUCCGCCUGGGGAGUACGGCCGCAAGGCUG